rnacentral:rRNA from 1 species
GGAAUAUUGGGCAAUGGAGGAAACUCUGACCCAGCGACGCCGCGUGCGGGAUGAAGGCCUUCGGGUUGUAAACCGCUUUCAGUAGGGAAGAAGCGAAAGUGACGGCACCUACAAAAGAAGCACCGGCUAACUAUGUGCCAGCAGCCGCGGUAAUACAUAGGGUGCAAGCGUUGUCCGGAAUUAUUGGGCGUAAAGAGCUCGUAGGUCGUUUGUUACGUCGGAUGUGAAAACCUGAGGCUCAACCUCAGGCCUGCAUUCGAUACGGGCAAACUAGAGUUUGGUAGGGGAGACUGGAAUUCCUGGUGUAGCGGUGGAAUGCGCAGAUAUCAGGAGGAACACCAAUGGCGAAGGCAGGUCUCUGGGCCAAUACUGACACUGAGGAGCGAAAGUCUGGGGAGCGAACAGGAUUAGAUACCCUGGUAGUCCAGACCGUAAACGGUGGGCACUAGUUGUGGGAACCUUCCACGGUUUCUGCGACGCAGCUAACGCAUUAAGUGCCCCGCCUGGGGAGUACGAUCGCAAGAUUAAAACUCAAAGGAAUUGACGG